UACGAAGGGGGCUAGCGUUGUUCGGAUUUACUGGGCGUAAAGCGCACGUAGGCGGACUAUUAAGUCAGGGGUGAAAUCCCGGGGCUCAACCCCGGAACUGCCUUUGAUACUGAUAGUCUCGAGUCCGGAAGAGGUGAGUGGAAUUCCGAGUGUAGAGGUGAAAUUCGUAGAUAUUCGGAGGAACACCAGUGGCGAAGGCGGCUCACUGGUCCGGUACUGACGCUGAGGUGCGAAAGCGUGGGGAGCAAACAGG
rnacentral:rRNA from 1 species